rnacentral:rRNA from 1 species
ACGAACGCUGGCGGCGUGCUUAACACAUGCCAGUCGAACGGAAAGGCCCUGCCUUUGUGGGGUGCUCGAGUGGCGAACGGGUGAGUAACACGUGAGUAACCUGCCCUUGACUUUGGGAUAACUUCAGGAAACUGGGGCUAAUACCGGAUAGGAGCUCCUGCUGCAUGGUGGGGGCUGGAAAGUUUCGGCGGUUGGGGAUGGACUCGCGGCUUAUCAGCUUGUUGGUGGGGUAGUGGCUUACCAAGGCUUUGACGGGUAGCCGGCCUGAGAGGGUGACCGGCCACAUUGGGACUGAGAUACGGCCCAGACUCCUACGGGAGGCAGCAGUGGGGAAUAUUGCACAAUGGGCGGAAGCCUGAUGCAGCAACGCCGCGUGCGGGAUGACGGCCUUCGGGUUGUAAACCGCUUUCGCCUGUGACGAAGCGUGAGUGACGGUAAUGGGUAAAGAAGCACCGGCUAACUACGUG